rnacentral:rRNA from 1 species
AACGCGAAGAACCUUACCCAGGCUUGACAUGCAGUAGACAGCGCCAGAGAUGGCGCGUUCCUUCGGGACUGCUGCACAGGUGCUGCAUGGCUGUCGUCAGCUCGUGCCGUGAGGUGUUGGGUUAAGUCCCGCAACGAGCGCAACCCUUAUCGUUAGUUGCCAACAUUUAAGGUGGGAACUCUAACGAGACUGCCUGGGUUAACCAGGAGGAAGGUGAGGAUGACGUCAAGUCCGCAUGGCCCUUAUGCCUGGGGCUACACACGUGCUACAAUGGUCGGUACAGAAGGCAGCGAAACCGCGAGGCGGAGCAAAUCCCCAAAACCGGCCCCAGUUCAGAUUGUAGUCUGCAACUCGACUACAUGAAGACGGAAUUGCUAGUAAUGGCGAGUCAGCUACAUCGCCGUGAAUACGUUCCCGGGCCUUGUACACACCGCUGUA